UUGCGAUUCAUUUUGAGAUUUCUUUUGCAGGUAUGAUGGCUUCUUCUCGUCCAUGCUCACGACAGGUGUAAUCAUUGUUUCGAUCAAUUGGAAGCUUUAUCAUCUCUGUAGAUAUCCUUUGCAUAUAUGGAUUGUGGUUGACUAUACAACUGUCUUUGUUUUCUGGCUAUUAAUGUUUCUCGACAAUGGCCUUGCUGCGGGGAUGGGUUGUUAAGUGUUCCCACUUUAUGCUACUAAUGUUGUCGUGAUUGAUGUCCACCAUAGUUUACUUAGCAAGCUCUGCUAUGUUUAUACCAACAAAAAAUUAUGUACUCAAUAAGAUUAAUUGAGAAUUUUUCCCCCUCUUUCUUUCAUUGUUUGUAGCAGCCAAUUUAAAGUGUGGCAUUCCUUAUAUUUAUGUUGUCUAAGGUCUCUGGUU